CCGAACUUAGCUCAGCUGGAAGAGCGUCGGACUGUAAAUCCGUAGGUCCCCAGUUCGAUCCCGGGAGUUCGGA
rnacentral:tRNA from 1 species